rnacentral:sRNA from 1 species
GACGUACCUAACCCCCGUCCCGUUCCGAU